rnacentral:lncRNA from 1 species
AUAUCUCACGCGGUUGUUGUUGCGUUGACCUAACUCGCUUGUUCUUUUUCUUUUAUAAAGUGAAGUGAUAAACUUUCAUAAACUCAUGAAAAGUCAAUAAAAGUUAGAAUUGGAUACAACCCCCUUAGGUUAGAUUGUUUAUCAUUUUCAUUUUUUAAAAGUGUUUUGUCAAAAUAAAUUAAAAAAUUAUUAUUAAAAGGAUUUGGAUAUAUUGAUUUACUAAUGUUUUAUAACUAAAUUUAUUUUAAUAAUGUUUCAUUUCUC